AUCCGGGCGUACACGCGGGCUACAAUGGUCAGGACAAUGGGUAUCGACACCGAGAGGGUGGAGGCAAUCUACCUAAACCUGUCCUUAGUUCGGAUUGUGGGCUGCAACUCGCCCACAUGAAGCUGGAAUCCGUAGUAAUCGCGUUUCAAAAUAGCGCGGUGAAUAUGUCCCUGCUCCUU
rnacentral:rRNA from 1 species